UCCCCGCCAGUCCAGUGGUUAAGACUCUGUGCUUCCAUUGCAGGGAACACAGGUUAGAUUCCUGCUUGGGGAA
rnacentral:tRNA from 1 species